GACGUCGAUAUUCGACGUCAUAAACACGAUCAACUUUGGUGUUUAUGACGUCGAUAUUCGACAUCAUAAACACGAUCAACUUUGUGUUUAUGACGUCGAUAUUCGACGCCAUAAACACGAUCAAUUUUGGUGUUUAUGACGUCGAUAUUCGACGUCAUAAACACGAUCAACUUUGGUGUUUAUGACGUCGAUAUUCGACGUCAUAAACACGAUCAACUUUGGUGUUUUCGACGUCAUAAACACGAUCAACUUUGGUGUUUAUGACGUCGAUAUUCGACGUC